UCAGAUUUUUAUUGUCAUUGCAGCUGGUGUUCUCAGGAGAAAGAUUUCCCUGUCAAUCCCUGAAAAGGGCAUCUGAACGGGCCUACUUCAAUCAGGGAGAUUCCCGAAGUCCUCUAUUUUCUGAGAAUGUGAGUGCUGUUCAAAAAUUAGACUUUUCAGAUACAAUGGUGCAACAGAAAUUGGAUGAUAUCAAGGAUCGAAUUAAGAGAGAAAUAAGAAAAGAACUGAAAAUCAAAGAAGGAGCUGAAAAUCUGAGGAAAGUCACGACAGAUAAAAAAAGUUUGGCGUACGUGGACAACAUUUUGAAAAAA